UGUGCCUCUCUAUGUCUGCACCAGACACAAAACCUCCUGCUGUAAUAUGCUGGCAUGGCAUAGAUUUCAGAGGAAAUCCUAUGCUGCUCUCGAAGCCUGGGAAAAGGGAGGAGAGAGGAGAAGAAAAGGUUUCAAGACAAGGAAUGGGAAUUGCUCCUCCAGACCC